CCCUUAGAUGUUCUGGGCCGCACGCGCGCUACACUGACGAUGGCAACGAGUUUUUCCUUCGCCGAAAGGUGUGGGUAAUCUUUUGAAACAUCGUCGUGCUGGGGAUAGAUCAUUGCAAUUUUUGAUCUUGAACGAGGAAUUCCUAGUAAGCGCGAGUCAUCAGCUCGCGUUGAUUACGUCCCUGCCCUUUGUACACACCGCCCGUCGCUACUACCGAUUGAAUGGUUUAGUGAGGACUCCUGAUUGGCGUCGCCGCCCCGGCAACGGAGCAGCGGACUGCCGAAAAGUUGUUCAAACUUGAUCAUUUAGAGGAAGUAAAAGUCGUAACA
rnacentral:rRNA from 1 species